rnacentral:rRNA from 1 species
ACCUAGCGGCGGACGGGUGAGUAAUGCUUAGGAAUCUGCCUAUUAGUGGGGGACAACAUCUCGAAAGGGAUGCUAAUACCGCAUACGUCCUACGGGAGAAAGCAGGGGACCUUCGGGCCUUGCGCUAAUAGAUGAGCCUAAGUCGGAUUAGCUAGUUGGUGGGGUAAAGGCCUACCAAGGCGACGAUCUGUAGCGGGUCUGAGAGGAUGAUCCGCCACACUGGGACUGAGACACGGCCCAGACUCCUACGGGAGGCAGCAGUGGGGAAUAUUGGACAAUGGGGGGAACCCUGAUCCAGCCAUGCCGCGUGUGUGAAGAAGGCCUUUUGGUUGUAAAGCACUUUAAGCGAGGAGGAGGCUACCGAGAUUAAUACUCUUGGAUAGUGGACGUUACUCGCAGAAUAAGCACCGGCUAACUCUGUGCCAGCAGCCGCGGUAAUACAGAGGGUGCAAGCGUUAAUCGGAUUUACUGGGCGUAAAGCGCGCGUAGGUGGCCAAUUAAGUCAAAUGUGAAAUCCCCGAGCUUAACUUGGGAAUUGCAUUCGAUACUGGUUGGCUAGAGUAUGGGAGAGGAUGGUAGAAUUCCAGGUGUAGCGGUGAAAUGCGUAGAGAUCUGGAGGAAUACCGAUGGCGAAGGCAGCCAUCUGGCCUAAUACUGACACUGAGGUGCGAAAGCAUGGGGAGCAAACAGGAUUAGAUACCCUGGUAGUCCAUGCCGUAAACGAUGUCUACUAGCCGUUGGGGCCUUUGAGGCUUUAGUGGCGCAGCUAACGCGAUAAGUAGACCGCCUGGGGAGUACGGUCGCAAGACUAAAACUCAAAUGAAUUGACGGGGGCCCGCACAAGCGGUGGAGCAUGUGGUUUAAUUCGAUGCAACGCGAA